AUUAUGAAAAUGCUUUUGACCUCAAAAGCCCCUGAAUCAAAGGGGAAGGUGAAAAGGAAAUCACCAUUGGCAAUGGUAGAGGCUAUGGAAGAUUGGGUCUUGCAGAAUUUAUUAGAAGACGUUUCUGAAGAGAAGACCUUCUGAGGCACCCCUUUGCAGCAGAUCCAGUUUGCUGACCAGAAGCAAGAAUUCAACAAACGUCCCACCAAAAUUGGACGUCGCUCUUUGUCUCGUUCCAUUUCUCAGUCAUCUACUGACAGCUACAGCUCAGCGGCUUCAUAUACAGAUAGCUCUGAUGAUGAGACAUCACCCAGGGACAAGCAGCAAAAGAACUCUAAGGGAAGCAGUGACUUCUGUGUUAAGAACAUCAAACAGGCAGAGUUUGGACGAAGAGAAAUUGAAAUUGCUGAACAAGAAAUGCCUGCAUUGAUGGCUUUGAGGAAGAGAGCUCAAGGAGAAAAGCCUUUGGCUGGAGCCAAAAUCGUGGGUUGCACACACAUCACUGCUCAGACUGCUGUGCUUAUGGAGACUCUGGGUGCUCUGGGGGCCCAGUGCCGAUGGGCU
rnacentral:sRNA from 1 species